UUUGUUGUGUUAGUUGUUGCUAUUGCAGUUGCUCUAGUUGGAAAUGUACAAGGUUUACCACCAUGUUGCCCGAAUCCUAGUCAUGAUCCUAAUCUUGAAUGUCAACCAAUUGUAUGUGAUAAGCUCCCGUGUUGCGAACCUCGUACCAGCCCUCCUUUCAGCAAUACAAAGCAUUGAGAUUUUCGAAAUAUUCUUUCGUAUUAUGAAACUGAUCAAUUUACAAUUGAGAAAAAUUCACAUCGUUUGUAUUAAUUAA
rnacentral:lncRNA from 1 species